rnacentral:lncRNA from 1 species
CCGCUGGAGAAGUUCGAACGGGCUUUGAUUCUCGUGAGAGGUCGAAAAGGGGCCGCUUAUUGUAGGAGCUCGGGUGAGGACUAGUUGUCGUGGAAGCUCGGAGUAGUGUCCCGCUGUAGAAGCUCAUCCAGAGCCCACUCGCUAUGGGGUAGCUCGGUUGAAGUCUACUUGUAGUAAAAAUUCAAAAAAAAUUUGUUUAUAGUAGAGGCUUGAGUCAGAAUUUGUUUAUAGUCGACGUCUGGGAUAGACAGCCCACUGUAUGAGUUCGGAGUAGACUGUUCGUAGUAGAAGUUUGGCUCUUGCAGGAGCUCAAUCAGGAUCCGGAAGGCGGUCGACCAUCGUAAAAGCUUGGAAGGAGUCUGGUUACUGUAGAAAUCUUGUUGUCGGGGAAGCUCAGAUAUUGAUGAAGCUCAGAAGAAGUUUGGAGUAGGAUCGUUCAUGGUCGGAAGAAGUCCAGG